UAGCUCAGAGGUUAGAGCAUCGCAUUUGUAAUGCGAGGGUCAUCGGUUCAAAUCCGCC
rfam:Oryza glaberrima chromosome 1 Oglab01_0091_2, whole genome shotgun sequence.